rnacentral:rRNA from 1 species
GAAACCAACAGGGAUUGCUCUAGUAACGGCGAGUGAAGCAGCAAUAGCUCAAAUUUGAAAUCUGGCGUCUUCGACGUCCGAGUUGUAAUUUGUAGAGGAUGCUUCUGAGUAACCACCGACCUAAGUUCCUUGGAACAGGACGUCAUAGAGGGUGAGAAUCCCGUAUGCGGUCGGAAAGGUGCUCUAUACGUAGCUCCUUCGACGAGUCGAGUUGUUUGGGAAUGCAGCUCUAAAUGGGAGGUAAAUUUCUUCUAAAGCUAAAUAUUGGCCAGAGACCGAUAGCGCACAAGUAGAGUGAUCGAAAGAUGAAAAGCACUUUGGAAAGAGAGUUAAAAAGCACGUGAAAUUGUUAAAAGGGAAGGGAUUGCAACCAGACUUGCUCGCGGUGUUCCGCCGGUCUUCUGACCGGUCUACUCGCCGCGUUGCAGGCCAGCAUCGUCUGGUGCCGCUGGAUAAGACUUGAGGAAUGUAGCUCCCUCGGGAGUGUUAUAGCCUCUUGUGAUGCAGCGAGCGCCGGGCGAGGUCCGCGCUUCGGCUAGGAUGCUGGCGUAAUGGUCGUAAUCCGCCCGUCUUGAAACACGGACCAAGGAGUCUAACAUCUAUGCGAGUGUUCGGGUGUCAAACCCCUACGCGUAAUGAAAGUGAACGGAGGUGAGAACCGCAAGGUGCAUCAUCGACCGAUCCUGAUGUCUUCGGAUGGAUUUGAGUAAGAGCAUAGCUGUUGGGACCCGAAAGAUGGUGAACUAUGCCUGAAUAGGGUGAAGCCAGAGGAAACUCUGGUGGAGGCUCGCAGCGGUUCUGACGUGCAAAUCGAUCGUCAAAUUUGGGUAUAGGGGCGAAAGACUAAUCGAACCAUCUAGUAGCUGGUUCCUGCCGA